GAUGAACGCUGGCGGCGUGCUUAACACAUGCAAGUCGAACGGUGAAGGCGGAGCUUGCUCUGCUGGAUCAGUGCCGAACGGGUGAGUAACACGUGAGCAAUCUGCCCCUGACUCUGGGAUAAGCGCUGGAAACGCCGUCUCAUACUGGAUACGAGCUUCGAAGCCAUCUUCAUCAGCUGGAAAGAACUUCGGUCUUGGAUGAUCUCGCUGCCUAUCCGCUUGUUGGUCAGGUAACGGCUGACCAAGCCUUCGACGGGUAGGCUGCCUGGGCGGGUGGACGGCCACAAUGGGACUGAGACACGGAGCAGAAGCCUACGGGAGGCAGCAGGGGGGAAUAUUGCACAAUGGGGGAAAGCCAGAUGCAGCAGCGCCGCGUGAGGGAAGACGGGCUUCGGGUUGUAAACCUCUGUUAGCAGGGAAGAAGCGAAAGUGACGGUACCUGAAGAAAAAGCGCCGGCUAACUACGUG
rnacentral:rRNA from 1 species